rnacentral:lncRNA from 1 species
GGGCGAUCUUAUCACCAACCUACGGAUAAGGAAUCUGGCUGGGAAGGGCUGAAUGACCUGCUCAAGGUCACACAUCUAGAAAGAGGCACCUUCAGGACUUGAAUGAGAUGACUUUUAUAUCAAUGCCUGGGCUCCUAAUCGCCAUGCUGUCUUGACCGUCUGCAACAAACCCUUCACUCAACAAAUGGGGAUGUUAAGGCCCAGAAAGGCAAAGAAAGUUCCCCAAGGUCACAAGAUCAAUUGGCCACAUAGUUGAGGCUGGCUAAGAGAAAAGAAUAAUUUCUUGCUGGAUUCUUGGGAGAACCAUACAGGAAUAAGGUGUGACGGGACAGGGAGGAAGAUUAGAGCAAAACAAGGGAGUUGAAGUGAGGGAGUUAGGAGGAGAACCUGGAUACCCCAGAAAACCCCAGCUCCAAUGUAGCCCACCCUAGCAGCCCAGGUGAUGGUGAGAGAUGCAACUCACUUCUUCUGCUUCUUCUCCAGCUCAUGGUUUCGACUUUGUUGGUUCUCUAGCAGGACGCGGGUAUCCUCAAGGUCACAGCCAAUGCACCCACAGACUUUACCUACCCUGCCUCAACUUGAUGACCCCUGAGCCACCAGAUAACUCAUAUCCCCACCAGCCGACAUGAUCAGAAGGGAUAUGUGAGGAUUAGCCACAGAGCAGCCAAAAUGACAUACCUAGAAAAUCUGACCCGGAAUCCCAAGUGACAAGCCUUAAAGGUUAAAGCAGCAAAUGGCACUUCGCAUGGACUGAAUUAAUACCGGAAUGCACACAGCCUUAAACAAACAAAAGUCAAGACUCUUGCAUCUUCCUCCAGGAAACACUCUCCCAAAUGCCCUAGUUUAGAUCUGGGAAAGAGCACGCAACUCAG